rfam:Camelus ferus unplaced genomic scaffold scaffold1331, whole genome shotgun sequence.
GAGGGUAUAGCUCAAGUGGUGGAGUGCUUGCUUAGCAUGCAUGAGGUCCCAGGUUCAAUCCCCAGUACCUCCU